rnacentral:rRNA from 1 species
GAUGAACGCUGGCGGCAUGCCUAACACAUGCAAGUCGAUCGGUAAGGCUCUUCGGAGUACACGAGAGGCGGACGGCUGAGUAACGCGUAGGAACACACCCUGCAGUGAGGGAUAAGACACCGAAAGGUGUUCUAAUACCGCAUACGGUCUUCGGAUUAAAGCAUUUAUGCGCUGAAGGAGUGGCCUGCGUCUUAUUAGAUAGUUGGUGAGGUAAUGGCUCACCAAGUCGAUGAUGUGUAGCUGGUCUGAGAGGAUGAUCAGCCAGACUGGAGCUGAGACACGGUCCAGACUCCUACGGGAGGCAGCAGUGAGGAAUAUUUCACAAUGAGCGAAAGCUUGAUGGAGCAAUGCCGCGUGCAGGAUGAAGGCCCUCGGGUUGUAAACUGCUUUUAUAAGAGAAGAUUAUGACGGUAACUUAUGAAUAAGGGACGGCUAACUACGUG